UAUAAGAAUAUUAUUCACGUAUGCAGUCAGUAUCUCCAUCUAUUGAACUCCUUGUUCGCCACACAUUUCCAAACGGGCAAAACUCCUGUGUCUUGAUCGCUGGAAUUCCUCUUCGACGUCUUCGUCUCGACCACUCCGAUUCCGGUCAAGAAAAGUUAUCGUGGUUAACUAAGUACCUUAACAGCCGUGGUUAAUUAAGUACCUUAACAGCCGAACAUCAUGCCAACUUUUUCCAACCACCUCGUUUUACAUCUCGAAUCACGCCUUGCCCCAGGUGAAAUCAGACUAUUUGCCAGUGGUAUCAUCUCGGGCCAAGAACCUCUGAGGGGAACUGCUUAUACAAAUCAAACGUCUCUCACAAGAUCAGGCUUGAUUUAAAAAGUUGAUGACGCAGCAACAACCUGCUCAAUGCGUGAUUUUGAAAGGAAUGUCUCACCC
rnacentral:lncRNA from 1 species